UACGAAGGGGGCUAGCGUUGUUCGGAUUUACUGGGCGUAAAGCGCACGUAGGCGGAUCGAUCAGUCAGGGGUGAAAUCCCAGAGCUCAACCCUGGAACUGCCUUUGAUACUGUCGAUCUGGAGUAUGGAAGAGGUGAGUGGAAUUCCGAGUGUAGCGGUGAAAUUCGUAGAGAUUAGGUGGAACACCAGAGGCGAAGGCGCCUGCCUGGCCAAACAUUGACGCUGAGGCGCGAAAGCGAGGGGAGCAAACAGG
rnacentral:rRNA from 1 species